rnacentral:rRNA from 1 species
UACGUAGGGGGCUAGCGUUGUCCGGAAUCAUUGGGCGUAAAGAGCGUGUAGGCGGUCCGGUAAGUCCGCUGUGAAAGUCGGGGGGCUCAACCCUCGAAUGCCGGUGGAUACUGUCGGGCUAGAGUGCGGAAGAGGCGAGUGGAAUUCCUGGUGUAGCGGUGAAAUGCGCAGAUAUCAGGAGGAACACCUAUUGCGAAGGCAGCUCGCUGGGACGUAA